rnacentral:tRNA from 1 species
GCGAAGGUGGCGGAAUUGGUAGACGCGCUAGCUUCAGGUGUUAGUGUCCUUACGGACGUGGGGGUUCAAGUCCGGGGUUCAAGUCCCCCCCCUCGCACCA